rnacentral:rRNA from 1 species
UGAGGAAUAUUGGUCAAUGGACGAGAGUCUGAACCAGCCAAGUAGCGUGCAGGAUGACGGCCCUAUGGGUUGUAAACUGCUUUUGUUUGGGAAUAAUCGACAUUACGUGUAAUGUUUUGCAUGUACCAUUCGAAUAAGGACCGGCUAAUUCCGUGCCAGCAGCCGCGGUAAUACGGAAGGUCCAGGCGUUAUCCGGAUUUAUUGGGUUUAAAGGGAGUGUAGGCGGCAGUACAAGUCGGGAGUGAAAACUCGGGGCUCAACCCCGAGACUGCUCUCGAAACUGUACAGCUAGAGUGCAGGAAGGGCAGGCGGAAUUCCUGGUGUAGCGGUGAAAUGCGUAGAUAUCAUGAAGAACUCCGAUUGCGAAGGCAGCUUACGGGAGUGUUACUGACGCUUAAGCUCGAAGGUGCGGGUAUCGAACAGG